CGCCGGAGUCGGGCGAGGGCGCCUCAGCCGCCACAGCGCAUCCCACCCCGGCCCGCUCACCGGUCACUCGACCACAGCACCAGCGGGACCUGCUGCUCCGCCGCUGCCGCCGCCGCCGCCGCCGCCAACGACAAAAACACCGGCAGCCACGGCAUGCGCCAGAGCGCCUGGGCGCACCGCGGCCCCAUCCGCACUCGAGCCGUCGCCAUGGCCGCCAUCAUAGCCUCAGCCUCCACUGCCUCAGCGGCCUCGACAGCCGCAGAUCAGGUGACCGUUGCCCCCGCCCGAGCCCCGCCUCGCACCUCCAUUGGCCCCAGCGCGGGCCGACCGGCAGGGCCGCAGGAGGAGAAAAAGAGACAGACACAGGGAGGAGAGCACUGCACGCAGCUGAAGGCAGAGAUUGGAAUGACACCUCUGCAAGCCAAGGAACACGGAGCAUUGCUGGGAACCACCGGAAGAAGCCAGAAGACAGGCCUGGAGCUGGCUUUCCCUCACAGCCCCAGAAGGAACCCACCCUGGUGCCACCUUGAUUUCGGACUUCUGGCCUUCAGAACUGGGAGAGAAUAAAUUUCUGUUGCUUUAAACUUC
rnacentral:lncRNA from 1 species